rnacentral:rRNA from 1 species
AUGGACCAUUCCAUCCCUUUUUCCCUUGCAUAUGCAUCGGACUCGGAUGACGAUGGUCCCGAUGAACAAGUUGAUGCGGAGGGGUUCACGGUGAAGGAGGCCGAAGCUUUCGAGAAGGUAUUUGGUCGGGAUCAUCGGACUACAUUGUUCAAGGAUGUUAGUCUCGCGGAUGAAGCCGUGGUAGAUGGUGGCCAAUGUGUAGCUCUUGGGGUUAGGCCAAGCUCUCACCGUGAUUUGGUAGACGACUAG